rnacentral:rRNA from 1 species
UUAAGCGACUAAGCGUACACGGUGGAUGCCCUGGCAGUCAGAGGCGAUGAAGGACGUGCUAAUCUGCGAUAAGCGUCGGUAAGGUGAUAUGAACCGUUAUAACCGGCGAUUUCCGAAUGGGGAAACCCAGUGUGUUUCGACACACUAUCAUUAACUGAAUCCAUAGGUUAAUGAGGCGAACCGGGGGAACUGAAACAUCUAAGUACCCCGAGGAAAAGAAAUCAACCGAGAUUCCCCCAGUAGCGGCGAGCGAACGGGGAGCAGCCCAGAGCCUGAAUCAGUGUGUGUGUUAGUGGAAGCGUCUGGAAAGGCGCGCGAUACAGGGUGACAGCCCCGUACACAAAAAUGCACAUAUUGUGAGCUCGAUGAGUAGGGCGGGACACGUGGUAUCCUGUCUGAAUAUGGGGGGACCAUCCUCCAAGGCUAAAUACUCCUGACUGACCGAUAGUGAACCAGUACCGUGAGGGAAAGGCGAAAAGAACCCCGGCGAGGGGAGUGAAAAAGAACCUGAAACCGUGUACGUACAAGCAGUGGGAGCACGCUUAGGCGUGUGACUGCGUACCUUUUGUAUAAUGGGUCAGCGACUUAUAUUCUGUAGCAAGGUUAACCGAAUAGGGGAGCCGAAGGGAAACCGAGUCUUAACUGGGCGUUAAGUUGCAGGGUAUAGACCCGAAACCCGGUGAUCUAGCCAUGGGCAGGUUGAAGGUUGGGUAACACUAACUGGAGGACCGAACCGACUAAUGUUGAAAAAUUAGCGGAUGACUUGUGGCUGGGGGUGAAAGGCCAAUCAAACCGGGAGAUAGCUGGUUCUCCCCGAAAGCUAUUUAGGUAGCGCCUCGUGAAUUCAUCUCCGGGGGUAGAGCACUGUUUCGGCAAGGGGGUCAUCCCGACUUACCAACCCGAUGCAAACUGCGAAUACCGGAGAAUGUUAUCACGGGAGACACACGGCGGGUGCUAACGUCCGUCGUGAAGAGGGAAACAACCCAGACCGCCAGCUAAGGUCCCAAAGUCAUGGUUAAGUGGGAAACGAUGUGGGAAGGCCCAGACAGCCAGGAUGUUGGCUUAGAAGCAGCCAUCAUUUAAAGAAAGCGUAAUAGCUCACUGGUCGAGUCGGCCUGCGCGGAAGAUGUAACGGGGCUAAACCAUGCACCGAAGCUGCGGCAGCGACGCUUAUGCGUUGUUGGGUAGGGGAGCGUUCUGUAAGCCUGUGAAGGUGUGCUGUGAGGCAUGCUGGAGGUAUCAGAAGUGCGAAUGCUGACAUAAGUAACGAUAAAGCGGGUGAAAAGCCCGCUCGCCGGAAGACCAAGGGUUCCUGUCCAACGUUAAUCGGGGCAGGGUGAGUCGACCCCUAAGGCGAGGCCGAAAGGCGUAGUCGAUGGGAAACAGGUUAAUAUUCCUGUACUUGGUGUUACUGCGAAGGGGGGACGGAGAAGGCUAUGUUGGCCGGGCGACGGUUGUCCCGGUUUAAGCGUGUAGGCUGGUUUUCCAGGCAAAUCCGGAAAAUCAAGGCUGAGGCGUGAUGACGAGGCACUACGGUGCUGAAGCAACAAAUGCCCUGCUUCCAGGAAAAGCCUCUAAGCAUCAGGUAACAUCAAAUCGUACCCCAAACCGACACAGGUGGUCAGGUAGAGAAUACCAAGGCGCUUGAGAGAACUCGGGUGAAGGAACUAGGCAAAAUGGUGCCGUAACUUCGGGAGAAGGCACGCUGAUAUGUAGGUGAAGUCCCUUGCGGAUGGAGCUGAAAUCAGUCGAAGAUACCAGCUGGCUGCAACUGUUUAUUAAAAACACAGCACUGUGCAAACACGAAAGUGGACGUAUACGGUGUGACGCCUGCCCGGUGCCGGAAGGUUAAUUGAUGGGGUCAGCGCAAGCGAAGCUCUUGAUCGAAGCCCCGGUAAACGGCGGCCGUAACUAUAACGGUCCUAAGGUAGCGAAAUUCCUUGUCGGGUAAGUUCCGACCUGCACGAAUGGCGUAAUGAUGGCCAGGCUGUCUCCACCCGAGACUCAGUGAAAUUGAACUCGCUGUGAAGAUGCAGUGUACCCGCGGCAAGACGGAAAGACCCCGUGAACCUUUACUAUAGCUUGACACUGAACAUUGAGCCUUGAUGUGUAGGAUAGGUGGGAGGCUUUGAAGUGUGGACGCCAGUCUGCAUGGAGCCGACCUUGAAAUACCACCCUUUAAUGUUUGAUGUUCUAACGUUGACCCGUAAUCCGGGUUGCGGACAGUGUCUGGUGGGUAGUUUGACUGGGGCGGUCUCCUCCUAAAGAGUAACGGAGGAGCACGAAGGUUGGCUAAUCCUGGUCGGACAUCAGGAGGUUAGUGCAAUGGCAUAAGCCAGCUUGACUGCGAGCGUGACGGCGCGAGCAGGUGCGAAAGCAGGUCAUAGUGAUCCGGUGGUUCUGAAUGGAAGGGCCAUCGCUCAACGGAUAAAAGGUACUCCGGGGAUAACAGGCUGAUACCGCCCAAGAGUUCAUAUCGACGGCGGUGUUUGGCACCUCGAUGUCGGCUCAUCACAUCCUGGGGCUGAAGUAGGUCCCAAGGGUAUGGCUGUUCGCCAUUUAAAGUGGUACGCGAGCUGGGUUUAGAACGUCGUGAGACAGUUCGGUCCCUAUCUGCCGUGGGCGCUGGAGAACUGAGGGGGGCUGCUCCUAGUACGAGAGGACCGGAGUGGACGCAUCACUGGUGUUCGGGUUGUCAUGCCAAUGGCACUGCCCGGUAGCUAAAUGCGGAAGAGAUAAGUGCUGAAAGCAUCUAAGCACGAAACUUGCCCCGAGAUGAGUUCUCCCUGACCCUUUAAGGGUCCUGAAGGAACGUUGAAGACGACGACGUUGAUAGGCCGGGUGUGUAAGCGCAGCGAUGCGUUGAGCUAACCGGUACUAAUGAACCGUGAGGCUUAACCU